UUUAGAAUUGAGCUACUCAAGAAUGCACCAAAUCCUACUGGAGUACUUGGCUCUAAAGCUGUUGGUGAGCCACCAUUGUGCAUGAGUAGUGCUGCUUUAUAUGCUGUAAAGAGAGCUAUUGAAAGUGCUAGACAUGAUGCUGGUGAAGACCAACCAUUUACUUUGUCUGCUCCAGCUACUGUUGAAGCAACCCAGCAAGCCUGUCUUGUUGAUUCAUCAAAAUUUGUAUUUUAGCAAUGCUGUACUAUUAGUUUGUAAUUAUUAACAUUAUUUUAUUUUAUUAUUUUUGUAAGUAAAAUUUUUAUCUGGUAAUUAAACUGGCUGCUUACGUAUGUA